AGAUUAAGGAAGAUAAAGGAUAUUACAAGCCUCCCCCGGCUAUCAAGGUUAUUAAGCAGGAAUUCAGGUACCGAUGGUGAUAACGGGAUGGCGUAGCAGUGAGGAUUUACUUAAUAUCUAGACUAUAUAGACUCUCAUUGUUUUUAUUUAAGUUUAUGUCAAAACUCUGAUUAGUAACUAAGUUUCUAUUAAUCAAGACUAAUGUUGGAUCUAUAUUAUGCUUCAUGUUAUAAAAUGUUUAAGUUUAUGAUU